UGAGGAACAUGACCUUCGGCGGGGGAGUAGCCGGCCCAACGGCCGGGUAAUACCGCGUACGACCACUUUGGGACAUCCCUCGGUGGUGAAAGCAGCAAUGCGCCGAUGGAGUGCCUCGCGGCCUAUCAGCUAGUUGGUGAGGUAACGGCUCACCAAGGCGACGACGGGUAGCUGGUCUGAGAGGAUGGCCAGCCACAUUGGGACUGAGACACGGCCCAGACUCCUACGGGAGCAG
rnacentral:rRNA from 1 species